CGCCUGGGGAGUGCGGCCGCAAGGUUAAAACUCAAAUGAAUUGACGGGGGCCCGCACAAGCGGUGGAGCAUGUGGUUUAAUUCGACGCAACGCGAAGAACCUUACCUGGCCUUGACAUCCAGAGAACUUUCCAGAGAUGGAUUGGUGCCUUCGGGAACUCUGAGACAGGUGCUGCAUGGCCGUCGUUAGCUCGUGUCGUGAGAUGUUGGGUUAAGUCCCGUAACGAGCGCAACCCCUAUCCCUGGUUGCUAGCAGGUAAUGCUGAGAACUCCAGGGAGACUGCCGGUGACAAACCGGAGGAAGGUGGGGAUGACGUCAGGUCAUCAUGGCCCUUACGGCCAGGGCUACACACGUGCUACAAUGGCGCGUACAGAGGGCUGCCAACUCGCGAGAGUGAGCCAAUCCCUUAAAACGCGUCGUAGUCCGGAUCGGAGUCUGCAACUCGACUCCGUGAAGUCGGAAUCGCUAGUAAUCGCGAAUCAGAAUGUCGCGGUGAAUACGUUCCCGGGCCUUGUACACACCGCCCGUCACACCAUGGGAGUGGAUUGCACCAGAAGUAGUUAGUCUAACCUUCGGGAGGACGAUUACCACGGUGUGGUUCAUGACUGGGGUGAAGUCGUAACAAGGUAACCGUA
rnacentral:rRNA from 1 species